UAUUAUGUAUGUUUGGCGGCCAAACGAUCAUGUUGGAGACUACGGCCCUGAGUACGGAGAAAGUUUCUGUAACUACACGAAGUAUCUGAAACAUGUGGAGGGAAGGCUGCGAUACCAUUUUGCUGAUGUAUUCAUAGAAUUCCUCACCUCAUUUGGGUUGUUCACAUUGCCGAAUUAUCAAGACUCUGAAAUAAAAAAAGAAAUGAUGGGUAUUCGAAGUGGUGUUGCUGAACAGCUGGGCGUGAAGGUAAACGGAGCUGCUCUAUUUGGAGAGAGGAUGAUAACAUUUGCCGACGACUUGAACUACAAAGUAUUCGAAAGAAUCACAGAAAAUGAUGUGAACAAUACAAGUGUGGAGUUCCUCAAGGGAGCUGAUAUAUUCCCUAUUGUAAUUGUGGGAAUGAUGUUUUUUGGUGAAGGCGGAAUCUGAAACUGUUGCUCUUAAAGUUCCUCGUAAAGCGAUCCUUACCAUCGCCAUCGUCAUCGUCAUCAUCAGCCAAAAGACAUCCACCGAUGGAGACAGACCUCUCCAAUGACGACAACCAGCAAGGCGAUGAUACAACCUCAAGAUAAAUUAUUAUAGUUAUCAGCUUACUCACGCAACUGUUUGACGAGGAACUCGACUAGUUUCAAGCCAUGCUAGAGGCUCAUAUUACAUAAUUAAUUUAGUAUGUCUCACGAAAGUUACAAUAAAACGACAAAUGUUAGUAAAGCAAGUAAAUUAUAUUAGUACAUUAUAAACUGCGAACUGCCUAGCUGGUUACCGGGGCUCCGGCUCGAAAAGCAGAAGUAGGAACAAUAAUAGAUAAAACAAAUCAAAGUUGUGGGAGCAAAUACGACAUUUCUACGUAUAAAAUGUACCUGAAAGUGACGUCACACGAUGUUCCAAAUAGAUAUAAUAUUUUUUUCCAUAAGAAAAUAAAAAAUACGUGUAUAAUGUUUUAAAAUUAUCUACAAGACGGACAUUAAAAUAAAAAUUAGUCAUCUACUCUAUUAUUGAGUUUGGGAUAAAAAGAAAAACCAAAAAAAUUACCAAAAAAAGUAAGCGUAAACUAUAAGGUAAGCUUAUGGUAUGAUAAUUAAUUUUAACAAAUGACAAAACAACAUUUUUAGUAAACUAAUAUCAGAACUUAAGACGGGAUAUUUACCAUGUUUAUUUAUGCCGAAAUAUCGGAAACUCAUAGACAUAAAUAAACAUAAUAAAUAUCCUGUCUUAGAUCUAUAUUAUAUUAGAUCAAUAUUAUACAAUAAGUAAUUAAAUUUUUAAUAAUCAUAUUGUUAUACAAUAAUAA